CCACCAUUGUAGAUGUGCGAACGUGUUAACGGCGUUAAUUGUUCUCGACUGAUCACAGUGGUUCAGUUACAUCGAGAACACACAAUCACUCUAUUAGCAAAGAGUUGCUGCGGGGUAAAGAUAGGGUUGGGCCCAAUAACUGUUAGGUGAGGGACCCAAUGAUGGCUUUGCACUUGCUUGUGAAUGGUGAGUCUGACUUAACUAAGAAGUACGGACAAUAACUGUUAGGUGAGCCCACACGACUUAGAGAUCAAGUGGCUGCAACAUGCUUAGAAAAGUAUUUGGACAAAGAGUUGUCUACGCAUCGAUGUUUAUUCAUAUUACCAAUAACUGUUAGGUGAGGUGCACGACAUCGGUGGGAUCGCAGCACUCAUUAGAAUCUCAAUUGUCACGUCAAAGUUUUUGUUUCUCCACCUGGAGAGUGUGGGAGAUCUGAUAAAAUAGUAGAAGUCUCUUUUUGCAUCUAAAAGUUUCUAGAGCAAAUCAUAAAAUAAGUACAAACAUCCAAUUAGAAUUUUUGCUCUCUACUGUUUAUUGUAUUAACUUCUAACCCUUUAGCUUAAAUCUUAAAUAUCAAUCGAUUAAUCAAAAUCGAGUACAUAGAUUGGCUCACAAAUUUAAGAAUUGUUCUUAACUUUAGAAAAUUAAGCUAUGUUCUCUACUAGGUUAUUCUAAUGUUGACAACUCGUCCAACCCAUGUCAACAAACUAUACUUGAUGAGUGGAUGGACAAUGGCAAUUAAGAUAGGUGCUAUGCAUGAGCAC
rnacentral:lncRNA from 1 species